UACGAGGGGGGGCGAGCGUUUGUUCGGAAUUAUUGGGCGUAAAGGGUGCGUAGGCGGUUCCGCAAGUCCUGUGUGAAAUCUUCGGGCUCAACUCGAAGUCUGCACGGGAAACUGCGGGGCUUGAGUGUGGGAGAGGUGAGUGGAAUUCCCGGUGUAGCGGUGAAAAUGCGUAGAUAUCGGGAGGAACACCUGUGGCGAAAGCGGCUCACUGGACCAUAACUGACG
rnacentral:rRNA from 1 species